rnacentral:rRNA from 1 species
UACAGAGGAUGCAAGCGUUAUCCGGAAUGAUUGGGCGUAAAGCGUCUGUAGGUGGCUUUUUAAGUCCGCCGUCAAAUCCCAGGGCUCAACCCUGGACAGGCGGUGGAAACUACCAAGCUGGAGUACGGUAGGGGCAGAGGGAAUUUCCGGUGGAGCGGUGAAAUGCGCAGAUAUCAGGAGGAACACCGGUGGCGAAGGCGGGUCUCUGGGCCACUACUGACGCUGAGAAGCGAAGCAUGGGGAGCGAACAGG